UACGGGGGGAGCAAGCGUUGUUCGGAUUUACUGGGCGUAAAGGGCGCGUAGGCGGUCGUGACAAGUCACUUGUGAAAUCUCCGGGCUUAACUCGGAACGGUCAAGUGAUACUGUCGGACUAGAGUACAGAAGGGGCAACUGGAAUUCUCGGUGUAGCGGUGAAAUGCGUAGAUAUCGAGAGGAACACCUGCGGCGAAGGCGGGUUGCUGGGCUGAUACUGACGCUG
rnacentral:rRNA from 1 species